AACGCAUAUUGCGCCCCUUGGUAUUCCAUGGGGCAUGCCUGUUCGAGCGUCAUUUACACCCUCAAGCUUUGCUUGGUGUUGGGCGUCUGUCCCUUCUUUCUCUGUGGACUCGCCCUAAAGGUAUUGGCAGCGGUCCUGCUAGGGCCUUCCUAAUCGCGCAGCACUGUUCGCGCCUCUUGGAACCCUAUGCGGAUUUCAGCAUCCAUUAAGCCAUCCUUUCUUCUUAACUUGACCUCGAAUCAGGUAGGGAUACCCGCUGAACUUAA
rnacentral:misc_RNA from 1 species